GAAAAGCCAAUGGCGCAAAGCUAACACCUGCCGCCUAAUGACUGAACGCCUCUAAGUCAGAAGGCACGCUAGGUGCGAGGUCACUUUUCCCAAUGAUGUCACCCGCCUAAGAAUACGCUCGGCUUGUCCGAGUGCAAGAGCAUACACGUUGGUUCCCCCGCGUAGGUUCACAACACCUGCGUGGGCGCCAAGGAUGGUAAUUUCAUUCGUCAUUGGGGUAAAUCCUAUGCAGACGACUUAGCU
rnacentral:rRNA from 1 species